AUUGAACGCUGGCGGCAUGCUUUACACAUGCAAGUCGAACGGUAACAGGCCGCAAGGUGCUGACGAGUGGCGAACGGGUGAGUAAUGCAUCGGAACGUGCCCAGUCGUGGGGGAUAACGCAGCGAAAGCUGCGCUAAUACCGCAUACGAUCUAUGGAUGAAAGCGGGGGACCGUAAGGCCUCGCGCGAUUGGAGCGGCCGAUGUCAGAUUAGGUAGUUGGUGGGGUAAAGGCUCACCAAGCCAACGAUCUGUAGCUGGUCUGAGAGGACGACCGGCCACACUGGGACUGAGACACGGCCCAGACCCCUACGGGAGGCAGCAGUGGGGAAUUUUGGACAAUGGGCGCAAGCCUGAUCCAGCAAUGCCGCGUGCAGGAAGAAGGCCUUCGGGUUGUAAACUGCUUUUGUACGGAACGAAACGGCUCUGGUUAAUACCUGGGGCUAAUGACGGUACCGUAAGAAUAAGCACCGGCUAACUACGUGCCAGCCGCCGCCGUAAAAC
rnacentral:rRNA from 1 species